AUUGAACGCUGGCGGAAUGCUUUACACAUGCAAGUCGAGCGGCAGCAUGGACUUCGGUCUGAUGGCGAGCGGCGAACGGGUGAGUAAUAUAUAGGAACAUACCUAGUAAGUGGGGGAUAACGCCGAGAAAUCGGUGCUAAUACCGCAUACGCCCUGAGGGGGAAAGCGGGGGAUCUUCGGGACCUCGCGUUAUUAGAUUGGCCUAUAUCUGAUUAGCUAGUUGGUGAGGUAAAGGCUCACCAAGGCGACGAUCAGUAGCUGGUCUGAGAGGAUGAUCAGCCACACUGGAACUGAGACACGGUCCAGACUCCUACGGGAGGCAG
rnacentral:rRNA from 1 species